ACAGGAACUUGGUGGGCCUCUGACCGCCAUGCUUUUGUUUUUACCUUUGCAUGAAGAUUGGACUGUUUUCCGACCAACUGAAUUGUCUGAUAGAUCAUGUUGGUGAAGUAAUGGUUGGCGCGAUGUCAUCUUGCUUUGUGUGAAGUGCGUGUCGGCUAUAAAAUUUUAAAAUAUUAAAAGAGUAAUGCGUGUUGAACCAUCAUGAGCUGCAAAAAUCCCUAGAUUUGGCCGGGUUCGACAGCUGCAUGCAGGACUCCAACAGUUCCUAGAUUCCUGAAGAAUUGGGUAGAACCCAAGGAGAUUUGGUUGUGUAGUUUUACAUCUUUCAAUCUCUUUUAAUUUUCUAAAAGGACUAAGAUCAUGCAUUUGAUUUAAAAACUGAAAGAAGAAAUUAAAAGUCUGCAUGCUACCUAAAGAGGCAGUCCGACCAUCUUAUUGGAAUGACUUCAAAGAGGCCACAUCCACCUUGCAGCAAGAUCAGGCAUUUCUCUGCAUGAAGGACGAGAGCAGUACAAAUACAAAGUAUUCCUUGACUCCACGAAGCUGCCCGAAUAGAGACAGACAGACAGACACCUCCUUUUUCAUUACCUUUGAUGGCUAGAUCUUCAUAGUACUCCUGCUUUUUUUUUUGUCCUGUCAAUGUAAAAAUAUAAAACCAUCACGUACAGCUUGUGUCGUAUAUGAUGUGUAAUGGGUAAUUUUUCUUUGAAACAAAGCUUUGGGAAGUAUCGUCGUAUCGAUCACUGUUGAAUGAUAGAAUCUGCUGCAUAA